UACGGAGGAUCCGAGCGUUAUCCGGAUUUAUUGGGUUUAAAGGGUGCGUAGGUGGAUUGGUAAGUCAGUGGUGAAAGUUUGCAGCUUAACUGUAAAAUUGCCGUUGAAACUGCCGGUCUUGAGUGCAAAUGGGGUAGGCGGAAUGCGUCGUGUAGCGGUGAAAUGCUUAGAUAUGACGCAGAACUCCGAUUGCGAAGGCAGCUUACUGGGAUGCAACUGACGCUGAGGCACGAAAGCGUGGGUAUCAAACAGGAUUAGAUACCCU
rnacentral:rRNA from 1 species